rnacentral:rRNA from 2 species
AGAGUUUGAUCCUGGCUCAGGACGAACGCUGGCGGCGUGCUUAACACAUGCAAGUCGAACGGAAAGGCCCCUUCGGGGGUACUCGAGUGGCGAACGGGUGAGUAACACGUGGGCAAUCUGCCCUGCACUUCGGGAUAAGCCUGGGAAACUGGGUCUAAUACCGGAUAGGACCUUUAGGCGCAUGUCUUUAGGUGGAAAGCUUUUGCGGUGUGGGAUGGGCCCGCGGCCUAUCAGCUUGUUGGUGGGGUGAUGGCCUACCAAGGCGACGACGGGUAGCCGGCCUGAGAGGGUGUCCGGCCACACUGGGACUGAGAUACGGCCCAGACUCCUACGGGAGGCAGCAGUGGGGAAUAUUGCACAAUGGGCGCAAGCCUGAUGCAGCGACGCCGCGUGGGGGAUGACGGCCUUCGGGUUGUAAACCUCUUUCACCAUCGACGAAGGUUCGGGUUUUCUCGGAUUGACGGUAGGUGGAGAAGAAGCACCGGCCAACUACGUGCCAGCAGCCGCGGUAAUACGUAGGGUGCGAGCGUUGUCCGGAAUUACUGGGCGUAAAGAGCUCGUAGGUGGUUUGUCGCGUUGUUCGUGAAAUCUCACGGCUUAACUGUGAGCGUGCGGGCGAUACGGGCAGACUAGAGUACUGCAGGGGAGACUGGAAUUCCUGGUGUAGCGGUGGAAUGCGCAGAUAUCAGGAGGAACACCGGUGGCGAAGGCGGGUCUCUGGGCAGUAACUGACGCUGAGGAGCGAAAGCGUGGGGAGCGAACAGGAUUAGAUACCCUGGUAGUCCACGCCGUAAACGGUGGGUACUAGGUGUGGGUUUCCUUCCUUGGGAUCCGUGCCGUAGCUAACGCAUUAAGUACCCCGCCUGGGGAGUACGGCCGCAAGGCUAAAACUCAAAGGAAUUGACGGGGGCCCGCACAAGCGGCGGAGCAUGUGGAUUAAUUCGAUGCAACGCGAAGAACCUUACCUGGGUUUGACAUGCACAGGACGCGUCUAGAGAUAGGCGUUCCCUUGUGGCCUGUGUGCAGGUGGUGCAUGGCUGUCGUCAGCUCGUGUCGUGAGAUGUUGGGUUAAGUCCCGCAACGAGCGCAACCCUUGUCUCAUGUUGCCAGCGGGUAAUGCCGGGGACUCGUGAGAGACUGCCGGGGUCAACUCGGAGGAAGGUGGGGAUGACGUCAAGUCAUCAUGCCCCUUAUGUCCAGGGCUUCACACAUGCUACAAUGGCCGGUACAAAGGGCUGCGAUGCCGCAAGGUUAAGCGAAUCCUUUUAAAGCCGGUCUCAGUUCGGAUUGGGGUCUGCAACUCGACCCCAUGAAGUCGGAGUCGCUAGUAAUCGCAGAUCAGCAACGCUGCGGUGAAUACGUUCCCGGGCCUUGUACACACCGCCCGUCACGUCAUGAAAGUCGGUAACACCCGAAGCCAGUGGCCUAACCCUUGGGAGGGAGCUGUCGAAGGUGGGAUCGGCGAUUGGGACGAAGUCGUAACAAGGUAGCCGUA